UGGGGGAUAUUGCACAAUGGGGGAAAACCCUGAUGCAGCAACGCCGCGUGAGGGAAGAAGGUUUUCGGAUUGUAAACCUCUGUCCUUGGUGAAGAUAAUGACGGUAGCCAAGGAGGAAGCUCCGGCUAACUACGUGCC
rnacentral:rRNA from 1 species